GCCUAGUUAGCUUAGUUGGUAGUGCGUCUGCCUUGUAAGCGCUAGGCCGCGGGUUCGAAUCCCGCCUGGGCG
rnacentral:tRNA from 1 species